CCCCUGAACUCCUGAAGUGCCUGGCAUCCGUUGUCCAAAAGCCUCGUGCUUCUUCUCUCUCAGCAACGCGCGCUUUUGUUUCUCUCCUCACGGGUUCUGUACGGCAUCAACGGCAAAAAUCAGACCACUCUGUUUUCCUUUGUGCCUCACAGGGCCUUUUAAAGGGCUUAAACCCAAUUAGAUUAGGUUUAAGACUCCUUAAUCAAUCCAUAUAAGAACCUACAUCGUUGGAUCGAGAACC
rnacentral:lncRNA from 1 species